AUAUUAAAAUAAUUAUUAAAUAUUUGUUUAAUUAAUCCUAAAAUUGAAGUAUAAUUAUGAAAAUGUUAACAAAAGAAUUACGUUUAGAUUUCAUAAGCAUAUCGCAAAGUGACCGAUUUAACCAGCGAUCGUACAGAGGUCCCACAUGUAGUCCUGAAGUAUAACCAAUCAGCAAACAACGCUACCUCAUCGUCGACAUUAUAUCAUGCUAGCGCAUCAUCAUAGAGUUCAGUACUGUUUAAUCUGUUGAGAUAAAUGUCAUGUUGGUAUGAUCACUAGUUCCUACAUGCGAAGUUGGUACGACUUCUAACGACGCCCUUUUGUUUUAGCUUCUGCCACGUGUUAAUUAUCUGAGAGUAUCCGGUGUGUUCAUAUGGCUGUACAUGGUGGUGAAAUACAGAAUAUAAAAACUGAAUCUGUGUGAAUCAAUUAAAUAUCGAACUCCAAAACCUAUUUAAUAACAGGGGUAGUGCAGUAACCGAAAUGGAAAUUAUUCUACAUGCAAAAGAAAUUUGAAGAGUUCUCGUUGCCAGAAAUUUAAGGUGAAUGGAUUUUGUGAUAUUCAGGCAAACUGACUCCCGAGUAAGAUAAAACUUCAUAAAUUCUUUCCUAUGGUGCUUUGGUUGACGCUAGACGGCCAAUUGUGUUAGUACGAACUAAUUUUUUGCGAAUAUAAUAUACUCAAUGUAACAUGUAUGCAUACUCAGGAAAUAGAAUUCAUUUAGAGACCAGCUAAGGAUGGGGACAAAGAUGAGGAUUGUGCGAAUUUUUAUGGCGACGUCAACUCAUUGAAUGAUAUAAUGGACAUAAGCUCAUUUGGCGCCAAAGAGAAAUGUAAAAUACUCUGAAGAUGUUUUGCUUUGCAUAGUCAUAUGGUAUGCGUCAUUGGAUUCCGUAAUUUCAAACUUGGAUUUGUGGAUUCCACACAUUGAAAACUACAAAAUUGCAGAUAAAAAAGACAAUGAUUUUUAGUUCCCUACAGUAAAGUUCAACCCCAUUUUUUUAAUAUAAUUGCCAGUUCUAAUGCAUAACUGACAGAGCAAGAUCGCUACUUUGGAGUAUGUUGCUAUAAACAAUAUAUUAAACUUUAAUAUUAUAUCCAAAAUAAAAUGUUUAACUCAGUAAUGAAAAAUAUAUAAAAUAGCACGAUAUUGAUCGAAGGGCUGCUCUGAAAAGAUAUAGGUUUGCUUUAUCUCUAAGAGUCCAGGAUUGCACGUUAUUAUUUUGUGAUAGACACUCUUGAGUUUGCAAUCCUUCAAUCAUCCGCCUAUAAUAAGUGUACAAUAACGAUUAUUCUAUUUCCUAAAAUAAUAUCAAUUACUCAUUCAUUUUUUAUUUUUAUAAUACACUACGCAUGCUAUUUGUAUAAUUAAUUUGUUAUUACUUCACGCAACCGCUUGCGCCCACCUUGCAGCGGUCGGCGAGAACUCUAACCCACACUUAAACCUAAUAAAUGAUGAUAUUCUCUUUUUAUUGAGCUAGUAUAUAAGUUAUAGUAGAUAAGUUAUAGCAGGCAUAUGCUGCACAUCGUAUAUGUGGUUAUCGUUAUCGUAUAUGUUGUGCCAUUAUUUUAAGCCUUUGCUCGCCUUACUCUCGUUUAUAAACAAAAGGUAACCUACAACUAAUACUGACGUUCCCAUUGCCAAAUACGCAUAACUGUAGUCAAAUAUACUUUGUAGCGAUACCGGCAUUUUUUACGAAUAUCUCAAUAAGGCCGAUCCCCGGUUAUAUAGUCAGGCCGGAAAAUAUUCGGACACUAGAACAACUUUGAUUUCUCUGCCCUGUACUUGAAAUAAAUACGGAAAAAACAACAAAAACAUUUUGCAGUAUACUGAACUAUAUUGCAUAGGUCUCGAAGUAAAAAACUUUUGAUUUAAAAGAAAGCGUUUUUUAAAUAUAAGAAGUGUUGAAAAAUGUGAAUUUUGGUGUUAUAAAAAUAUCUGAACAUUUUAUAAAUUAAUGUUAGAAAAACUAAUAUGGCAAUACUAUUUUUCAUAAAAGUCCAAUAUUUUGUCCGAUACCCCUUUUGUUCAAUAAUGUGUUAGUAGACGAUUUUCCAGAUGUUGAAGAUUAUUUUUUAUUAAUAAUCGAUACUGUAAUUUAUUUCUCUAUUAAAUGAACUUUCUUCAGU